CACCUGCAAUGCAUGCUGAAGUGUUCAAACUUGUAUAAAUGAUGGAAAGAGAGAAAUUAUGUGGAAUGUAUCUCUCCAUGUCCAAUACGUAUCAUCAGUACAGAGAAAUACUUCCAUUUGGUUUCAACCAGCUUUUGAAUUGCAGUUUAAAACAAAGCUCCCGAAGGCCAAGUUCUCUCCUUUGCCCCCCAUCAGCUGCUGCAGGGAGCUGAGACAACACCCUUGUGCCUUUUUAUCACAGAUCAGUGUGAGCCUCAGCAUGGAGCUCUCCUUUUCCCUGCCACCUGCAGCAAAUCUGCUUUUCACUUGUUUUAUCUUGUUACUGAAGAUCAGUUGGUAAAUUUUGGAGAACGUGUGAGGAGCAUUGGUUCCCUUUCCAGGCUGUGAUCAGCACCUUUGAGAACAAGAAUCAUCAGAUGGGAAAGGACUGUGGGUGUUAUUUUAUGCUUCGUCCCAUACCUACUCCAGGAAGUGUAAAUGGAUCAGUACUUUCAGUGUGCAUGUUAAUAAUGUCCCAGAUAACGGCUACAUUUCAAUUUGGUGUUCCUGGAUCUCCUGCAAGAGCACUUCAGUCCACAAAAUACACUUGUAGUUCCAGUUCUUCCCUGAAGUCCUGUGCACCUGUUACCUGAAAAAGGUCAUUCCUCACAUCUGAGUUUGCCAGUGCUCCAUGAAGCCAAGGCUUCACGCCCAAAAAUUUCAUAUCCUCAGGUAUUAAAAACUGUCUUGUUCAAGUACCACUGUGGGCAGGUACAAAUGCAGUACUGAACUCACCUGUAUUUCAGUUUCUUGCAACAUUGGUGAUUUCUCACCUGGAAAAGAAUCAGCAUUGUCUCCCUCUUCUCUGGAUCUCAGGAUGGCUGGCACAGCUCAGCCACCAGCUAAGUUCCCUAAGGUUAACAUGCUGGUUAUGGGCUGUUCAGCAGCUUAGAAAACUGCUUAUUUCUACACUGGUAAUGGAAUCUCGCUGUCCAAAACAAACAAAAAGGUGUAUUGCUUUAUUCCUUUUCUUGCUCUUAUUUGGCUGCUGUCAAUUGCUACUGAUUUUUAAAGCAAAUUUAGCUCCUUAUGGAAAUUACUGUUAACUGGUUAUUUCUUGACUUAGAGUGUAAGUAGCAGA